ensembl:lncRNA
AGGGGGCGACUCCUCUGCUCCCAUAGACGUCUAUGAGGAAAUGACUCUACUUCUCUGUAGUGACCAGCAGGGGGCGACUCCUCUGCUCCCAUAGACGUCUAUGAGGAAAUGACUCAAAUGAUUCAUACACGUGUUUAUGAGGCUGUACACAUGAGUCUAUGGACUCGAUCUCUAGACUUCUUCAACACAGCAGGAUGUUCAUUUAGGGAUAUUUAUAUUGUAGUCAGACCAUAGAAUGGGAUGUUUUAGGGCGGGGCUACACGCUAGUUGACAUAUGCCGUCUAAGUCUUCCUCACUCCAAAUAAGGUCACUUCCUGUUGACCAAAAAAAAUUUUCCCAAAAAAGUUGACCAAACUCGAGGCUUCAAAGUGGAAAUGUCUCACUUGUUAAAUACUUACUUGUGUAUCUUUAUUUCUAUUUUCCAUCCUUCCGUCCUGUUGUGACUCAGCGCUGCGGCAUGUUAGCCAUUAAGCGUGAUGACGAGGUGGGCGGAGCCAAGUCCGCUGCUCGAAACAGGCUCUUCAUUAGUGAAGCCGCCGCUCGUUAAAGCUGCAGGCGGCACUCACACACACACACACACACACACACACUCACUCACACUCACGGACUCACUCACACACACACACACUUACACUCACAGACUCUCAUGCACACACAGACACGUGCGCACACACACACACUCACAGACUCACAUGCACACACACCUAACUACUUGCAGACACACAAGUUUUGCAUUGAUCACACUCGACACCACAACCCCCCCCAACAUAUAAACGCACACAAACACACAGACAUGCAUUCAUAACACAGGCCGUCUGACCAAAAGCUGAACACACACACACAUUUUAUAGACACACACACACACACACGCCUCAACAUGGCCAAUAAACCACCACACCAACACGUGGUGCCUGUCUGUCUGUGAGUGUGAGUGUGUGGUGAAGGUGUGCGUUGCUGAGGGUUAGGGUGUGAUUUUCUUGUGUGUGUGUGUUUCUGCAGAUACACUCUUCCCGGCAUCCACGGCCUCAACUUUGUCCUGCAGAGCUCGCUGGGAGGGGGAGGGGUGGCGUCUCUACGCAGCGACCCCCAGGGAAAAGCUUACGGUCAGAUGCUGCUGGACGUGAAGCUGCACGGACUCCCCGACCUCAAGUCCCUGGUGGACUGAGACACUCUGGACCACCACAAAAGAAGAGAGAGAGCAAAGAGAAACACGAAAGGACAUUUUAGCUCAACAGAACGAGGAGAAACCAGAUGAAACGCCAAACCACAGGCUCGGCCAACGUUAGCUAACGUUAGCUAACGCAUUUAAAUCAACCAGAGUAGAUGAUUAAGGAGCAACACGUUGAAAUAGAGGAACACGACUCGCACUAAACCUGGGCUCCGGCUUCAAGGGACCUGACCUCUGUGACCCCGGCGGUUUGGAGACAUCAGGCCUCAGGUUGGUGUGCACGCCCCCCCCCCACCUCCUUCACCUCGACGCGACCCGGCUCCGGUGUUCGCCGGGCUGCAGGAAUGUGCGUCUGCUUCCACCAGAGCACCGUCCCUCCGGCUUCCAGGCUGCUUUUCUGUAAUUGCAAACAGACCGAGAGUUUGUUCUCUACAGCUUCCGUCAACUCAGGACUCCCCCACCCCCCAAAUCCUCCUCCUCCUCGGAGAGAGAAGAGAUCUCCCCCUCUUUGGACGCAUUACUCUUUCCUGGCAACCGCUUUGGUACUUUCACUUCUCUGAUGCUUUGGGGAAUUAUACAUUUUUGUGUAUUUAAUCUUAUUUUUCAGCUGCUGCAUUCGUGAGCUCUGAGUGUUUUCACUCAAACACAGAGAAGAACCACAUGAGACCUUCUGCCAGGAAGAAAAAGCAAAACCACGAUCCUCCGAACAGACUUACGGAGAGAUUUACACGCAAUAAAAUCCUAAAAUAACCCACAACAACGAGAGUCCUUCCACAAACAAAUUGAGCACAGACGCGCGAGUAUCAAUCAACAAAUAUUCGCCUCAGAAGAAUCCACGGGCUCCUCUGGAGUUCAACGGACGCCGCCGAGGUGGUCCCAUCGUUUUUAGCGAGGUGUUGAAAUCCAGGCUGUAAAUUCCAGCUCAGUUUCCCGUUUUCAUAAAAAAGAAAGCUCCGAUUUCAUGUGGAAUCUCGCAUCCGCCUGCUAAUUAGUCACCGUGGAAUAAGUUCUAGCAGCUAAAUGUUCACACGUCGCGGCUGACGGGAAAGACGGUUUGGUGUUUGAUUUUAAACCUUAAGCGACAUGUUCUCUCUCUCAGUAUGAAGCUAAAUAGAAGGAACACUUGUAAUAUGAACUUCAGAAAUAAAUAUGUUUGAAAAAAUCUGUCCUCCAGAAUAUUCUGCAGCGGACGAGCCUGUUAGUCUGCACUGAACUCAUGAAUGUUCAGUAUUUGUUGGUGAAAAAGCAGUGGCCCCAGGAUGGAACUGUGUGUGUGUGUGUGUGUGUGUGUGUGUGUGUGUGUGUGUGUGCGUGUGUGUGUGUGUGUGUGCAUAUAUAACAUGGAGUCUGAGCCUUUCUUUGGGUUUAUUCACCUCUUAAGUUUUAACAUCACUUGUUUCUUCCAAGAACUUUUCUCCAAAUGAAGUAAUGAAAGUUUGAUUCCGUGCUUUCUUUAUUUUUAUCACUUCAUGCUUUUAAGGAGCCGAUUU